AUUGAACGCUGGCGGCAGGCCUCACACAUGCAAGUCGAACGAGUGGCGGACGGGUGAGUAAUGUCUGGGACACUGCCUGAUGGAGGGGGAUAACUACCGGAAACGGUAGCUAAUACCGCAUACCAUCGGAUGUGCCCAGAUGGGAUUAGCUAGUAGGUGGGGUAAAGGCCUACCAAGGCGACGAUACGUAACUGGUCUGAGAGGAUGAUCAGUCACACUGGAACUGAGCAACGGUCCAGACUCCUACGGGAGGCAGCAGUGGGGAAUAUUGGAAAAUGGGCGAAAGCCUGAUCCAGACAAGCCGCGUGUGGGAAGAAGGUCUUCGGAUUGUAAAGCACUUUAAGUUGGGAGGCGUUACCAACAGAAUAAGCACCGGCUAACUUCGUGCCAGCCGCCGCGGUAAUACC
rnacentral:rRNA from 1 species